GGCAGGUGUAGCCUAGUGGUUAAGGUACUGGACUAGCAAUCGAAAGAUCGCUGGUUCAAGCCCAACCACUGCCA